UACGUAGGGGGCUAGCGUUGUCCGGAAUCAUUGGGCGUAAAGAGCGUGUAGGCGGCCCGGUAAGUCCGCUGUGAAAGUCGGGGGCUCAACCCUCGAAUGCCGGUGGAUACUGUCGGGCUAGAGUGCGGAAGAGGCGAGUGGAAUUCCUGGUGUAGCGGUGAAAUGCGCAGAUAUCAGGAGGAACACCAAUUGCGAAGGCAGCUCGCUGGGACGUAACUAACGCUGAGACGCGAAAGCGUGGGGAGCAAACAGG
rnacentral:rRNA from 1 species